GACAGAGGGUGCAAACGUUGUUCGGAAUUACUGGGCGUAAAGCGAGUGUAGGCGGUUCGGUAAGUCGGAUGUGAAAGCCCCGGGCUCAACCCGGGAAGUGCACUCGAUACUGCCGAGCUAGAGUCCCGGAGAGGAAGGCAGAAUUCCCGGUGUAGGGGUGAAAUCCGUAGAUAUCGGGAGGAAUACCAGCGGCGAAGGCGGCCUUCUGGACGGUGACUGACGCUGAGACGCGGAAGCGUGGGGAGCAAACAGG
rnacentral:rRNA from 1 species